AGUGAACGCUGGCGGUAGGCCUAACACAUGCAAGUCGAACGGCAGCACAGUAAGAGCUUGCUCUUACGGGUGGCGAGUGGCGGACGGGUGAGGAAUACAUCGGAAUCUACUUUUUCGUGGGGGAUAACGUAGGGAAACUUACGCUAAUACCGCAUACGACCUACGGGUGAAAGCAGGGGAUCUUCGGACCUUGCGCGAUCGAAUGAGCCGAUGUCGGACGAGCUAGUUGGCGGGGUAAGGGCCCACCAAGGCGACGACCCGUAGCUGGUCUGAGAGGAUGAUCAGCCACACUGGAACUGAGACACGGUCCAGACUCCGACGGGAGGCAGCAGUGGGGAAUAUUGGACAAUGGGCGCAAGCCUGAUCCAGCCAUACCGCGUGGGUGAAGAAGGCCUUCGGGUUGUAAAGCCCUUUUGUUGGGAAAGAAAAGCAGCAGGUUAAUACCCCGCUGUUCUGACGGUACCCAAAGAGUAAGCACCGGCUAACUUCGUG
rnacentral:rRNA from 1 species